CUUAGAAACCAUCAAUUACUUUCAACUGCAUAGGAAGGGUUGGAGAAGUCACAUGGUUGCAUGAUGCUACCGUAAAGCACCAUAUGUUGGACAGGGUUGCAUCAAUUUGUUGUGGGCAAAUCCUUCAUUUAAGCCAUUAGGAAUUCUGAGUAUUUGGUAGUCACUGCAGCAAUCGCAUACUCAUUCUCGAUGCGUUCCCGCGCCGUGCGCGCAUAGCGCGCAUACUCCGCCUCCGGCAGGUCGAGAAAGGCGCGCAUUGCAUCGGCGAGC
rnacentral:sRNA from 1 species